AGGGGGAGGCCGGAUCCUGGGCUGUGUCCUGGCGCGCAGUGCUCCCGGAACUGCGCUGCUGGACUCGGGCUCCCGGCCACACGGCUGCCU
rnacentral:pre_miRNA from 1 species